GACGAACGCUGGCGGCGUGCCUAAUACAUGCAAGUAGAACGCUGAAGGAGGAGCUUGCUCUUCUGGAUGAGUUGCGAACGGGUGAGUAACGCGUAGGUAACCUGCCUGGUAGCGGGGGAUAACUAUUGGAAACGUUAGCUAAUACCGCAUAACAGUAGAUGUUGCAUGACAUUUACUUAAAAGGUGCAAUUGCAUCACUACCAGAUGGACCUGCGUUGUAUUAGCUAGUUGGUGGGGUAACGGCUCACCAAGGCGACGAUACAUAGCCGACCUGAGAGGGUGAUCGGCCACACUGGGACUGAGACACGGCCCAGACUCCUACGGGAGGCAGCAGUAGGGAAUCUUCGGCAAUGGACGGAAGUCUGACCGAGCAACGCCGCGUGAGUGAAGAAGGUUUUCGGAUCGUAAAGCUCUGUUGUAAGAGAAGAACGAGUGUGAGAGUGGAAAGUUCACACUGUGACGGUAUCUUACCAGAAAGGGACGGCUAACUACGUG
rnacentral:rRNA from 1 species